GAGGGCUUAAAGAUAGGAUUACGUCUCUCCGUUUGAGACUCAUUGAUCUACAUCUUGCUCCAAAGUCUCUCAGCGUUGGUGCUCAUAACAAAGGUGAACUGCAGGCCGGCUUCUACAAGCUUGUACUUUCAACUUUACACAGAUGAGUUGUUUUCCGGCGAAGGUGAUGGCUACACUAGUAGCAGUAUUCCUUCUUGUGGGUGGAAUAUAUUUUCCUCCAACUUCUGCGUCACUUCCUUACGGUGGUCGGAAGAGUUUAUAGCUUGAUGGCUCCACAAAGACAACACCAAGAUUAGAAGGCAGUUCUGAAGGUCUGAACAUUACUAGUAAGAAAAUAAUUUCCAUUCGGAGCCUACGCAGAAGAGGUCCAUGGCCGCCACCUCCACCCAUGCGAAACUGACCAAUAUCGUGGAAAAGCCCACCUCCACCCCUCAAGCCCAAGUCUCCACCUCCACCACCUCCACCACCUCCACCCACCUGAAAACAACGAAUAUCGUGGAAAAGCCCACCUCCUCCGUACAAGCCCAAGUCUCCAACUCCACCUCCUAUUUUAAACUAGGACAAAAAUUUCUUACAAAAUAAGUUUGAAAAUUUUUCUCUCAACCCAAUUUACAGAAGUGAUGGUUCUUUAAUAUGUAAAAAAUCGUUAAAGAAACACAUUAUUUUAAUAAUUAUGUUUCUUACUUUGUUCUCUUGAA